GAGUUUGAUCCUGGCUCAAGACGAACGCUGGCGGCGUGCCUAAUACAUGCAAGUCGAGCGAGCUUGCCUAGAUGAUUUUAGUGCUUGCACUAAAUGAAACUAGAUACAAGCGAGCGGCGGACGGGUGAGUAACACGUGGGUAACCUGCCCAAGAGACUGGGAUAACACCUGGAAACAGAUGCUAAUACCGGAUAACAACACUAGACGCAUGUCUAGAGUUUGAAAGAUGGUUCUGCUAUCACUCUUGGAUGGACCUGCGGUGCAUUAGCUAGUUGGUAAGGUAACGGCUUACCAAGGCAAUGAUGCAUAGCCGAGUUGAGAGACUGAUCGGCCACAUUGGGACUGAGACACGGCCCAAACUCCUACGGGAGGCAGCAGUAGGGAAUCUUCCACAAUGGACGAAAGUCUGAUGGAGCAACGCCGCGUGAGUGAAGAAAGGUUUCGGCUCGUAAAGCUCUGUUGGUAGUGAAGAAAGAUAGAGGUAGUAACUGGCCUUUAUUUGACGGUAAUUACUUAGAAAGUCACGGCUAACUACGUGCCAGCAGCCGCGGUAAUACGUAAGUGGCAAGCGUUGUCCGGAUUUAUUGGGCGUAAAGCGAGUGCAGGCGGUUCAAUAAGUCUGAUGUGAAAGCCUUCGGCUCAACCGGAGAAUUGCAUCAGAAACUGUUGAACUUGAGUGCAGAAGAGGAGAGUGGAACUCCAUGUGUAGCGGUGGAAUGCGUANAUAUAUGGAAGAAACACAGUGGCGAAGGCGGCUCUCUGGUCUGCAACUGACGCUGAAGCUCGAAAGCAUGGGUA
rnacentral:rRNA from 1 species